rnacentral:misc_RNA from 1 species
GUUUUAGUGUAAAAUCUAGAGUCUAAAUAAUUAAUUUCAAAAAAAUUUAAGGAUUAAAGUGUAAUAUAGUGUAAAAUUUAUGAAGUAAAUAAUUAAUUUCUCAAAAUUUAUGGACUAAAAUAUAAUAUAAAGCAAAAUCUAGAAGCUAAACUAUAUUUGGACAACUUUCUGUAUGGCUUGAAUGAUUUAUUGAAAUAUAUAUGAUAUAGACAAAAUAAAACGUUUUCAUAAGAGAAGCUUCCCACUAACUUAAAAAUGGUGAUCAUGUGGCUAUAGCAAUUUAAAAACUGAAUGCAGCCCAUUACAACGAACAAAGUAAAUUAAAAUUGCUAUUUUGCUUAUUUCCGUGCGUAUUCAAAGGAUAACAUAAAUUUACAAACUAAAAUGAAAGAAAGCAAUACAGAGAAGCCUGCUAAGAACUAUUCCUUACAUUGAAGGCUUUUUAUUAUGGUAGCGAUACUUUAUGCCAGCAGUGUAAGAUGCAGAGAGUGAUAUUCAUCCUACUUGUGCCAUGCAAGGAUACUGCAGAAUAUAUAACAUAUAAAUGAACAGAAGAAAAUGGUGACAAGGGAUAACUAGAAGUGUGGG